GCAACCCCAAAAUGACCCCACCUUUCUUCGUGAAUUCUAAGUUAUUAAAAUCUUAUAUGUGUAAACAAUGACCAUCAAAAUCAAGUUCGAGUUUUAAAUCGCAACACACCUUACUUCACAAAGAAAUAAAAGUUCGAAAUCUUGUCUAGGUAAGUGUGGUCGAAAUGCAAUUUUAUACUGCAAUAGAUCGUGAAAUGCAACCUGCAUAUGAAAACAUGGAAAAUUGAACUCUUGUAUAUGCAUAUCGUUUAGAAACAAAUCUCACCAACGGUACCUACGGGCUUGUUCCGGCAGCUGAG
rnacentral:lncRNA from 1 species